AUUGAACGCUGGCGGCAUGCCUUACACAUGCAAGUCGAACGGCAGCGGGGGAGAAGCUUGCUUUUCCUGCCGGCGAGUGGCGGACGGGUGAGUAAUACAUCGGAACGUGCCCUGUAGUGGGGGAUAACUAGUCGAAAGAUUAGCUAAUACCGCAUACGACCUGAGGGUGAAAGUGGGGGACCGCAAGGCCUCAUGCUAUAGGAGCGGCCGAUGUCUGAUUAGCUAGUUGGUAGGGUAAAGGCCUACCAAGGCGACGAUCAGUAGCUGGUCUGAGAGGACGAUCAGCCACACUGGGACUGAGACACGGCCCAGACUCCUACGGGAGGCAGCAGUGGGGAAUUUUGGACAAUGGGCGAAAGCCUGAUCCAGCAAUGCCGCGUGUGUGAAGAAGGCCUUCGGGUUGUAAAGCACCUUUGUCCGGAAAGAAAUGGCUCUGGUUAAUACCUGGGGUCGAUGACGGUACCGGAAGAAUAAGGACCGGCUAACUACGUGCCAGCCGCCGCCGUAA
rnacentral:rRNA from 1 species